rnacentral:rRNA from 1 species
AUGCUCAACAAGGCCGCGGGAAUCUCCCCCCGACACCGGAACGAGACCACCGCCGACUCCCACACCAGCCAGGGCCAGGCCGUCGAGGUGUCCUUCUGGCUCGCCGACCCCCCGGCCGUCUCCCACUUCUCCGUCCACUGCCCUGGCCUCCAAGGCGACGAUUUCUCUGACCAGCCGCCGGUCGUCAUCUGCGCCGAAGGACCCUUCGUUCUCUUCAGCCUCACCCUCAACGUCCCUGAAUGGGGCUCAAUCCAUCACUUCGUCUACUCCGCCGGCGGCCCUGCAGGGAGCCCCUCGCUGCGCCUCCUCCCGGUCCUGGACCCCGAGGUUGAAGCCUUCGAAUCCCAGCAGUUUGCCCUCUUGCCCUGUGGCGGCCAGCACUAUGCCGUCGUCUUCCUGGAUCGCAACUGGAUUCCCAGUGAUGAGGUUUGGGAGUAUCAAGCAUACCUCUACUCCUCCAAGAUGCGAGCAUGGAGCACAACAAAGGUGCCCUUGUCACAGUUAUCUGAGACCGAAAAGGCGCUACUUGAUGGACAUUACAGCUGCAAACAGAUCAUGGUCGGGCCAGACUCACUGGGCUGGGUGGAUCUCCUGUGUGGUAUCGUCCUUCUUUGCAACCUCUUCGACGAGAAUCCUGUUAUCAAAUUCAUCCCAUUCCCUUCAACAAGGAUCUGCAUCACAGACGAGGAUGGUGUCGCGGAGAUUGCCGCAGAACACGUAUGCGAUGUCACUUGCUGCGGUGACCUCAUCAAGUUUGUCCAGAUUGAUUUCGAUGAUCCUGACUACGGAAGCAGUGGCAUCGCUUGGAAAGCCACCACAUGGAACAGGAAGCUCAGUUGGAAUGAUUGGCGCAACCGCUGCAUAGUUGAUGUUGCUCAAACGACACGAGUUAUUCUGCUUUGUUGCCUGAGCUGCUGGAUGAUGAGACUCAGCAGCUGCAACUGA